rnacentral:ncRNA from 2 species
CAUCGUCGCCAGGGGAGUCCGCUGGACUGAGAGUGCGUUCUCGCGCAGACCCUGGAACCUGAUCCGGUUUAUGCCGGCGGAGGAAGCGCGACAUGCCCCUGCU